AGAAAUGCAUCAAUCAACAAACUUGGAUUUGUUGUGCUGAUUGUCUGGAAGUAUAGUUUCCUUACUGACUGUUACUCACUUCAAAAGAAACGGACUGCUACGAUCGUACUUACGUCACCAGAAACAAACACUUCCACAAAGAAUUUGAUUUGAUGGCAUCAUGUGGACAUAGAACUCUCACAGUAAUGACCCAACCUGUGUUUCCAGUCAUCCUGAUGAACUUUCAACAAAAUCAGAUUGUUAUACUGUUGUUCUCACUUUACACCCAUAUUUUCUCUUGCUCCUAAAAAAGGUAUCUGGUAUUAAAUAGAAUUCUGUAUCUUAAAAAACUUGCCAUUGAGAAAAAUGAGAAGUAAUUGUACAUUUUAAUACUGAAGGUUUUAAUAAAAAAAGCAGUGUGAACUAUCUGUUCCAUUUUUAUUCCUCGUCUACAAAAGACAAAAGUGUCAGUACUGAGACAACUGCUUGAUAAUAGGGAGCACAAAUAUUGCUCUUCCUGAAAUUUUUGCAAACUUGAGGUUUACUUUCUUUAAGAUUUCUGGGCAAUUCUGUUAGGAUAAAGUGCAUAUCCUAUAAAUGAAAGGGUCACAACUGAGAUAAUUAAACUGAUCAUUGGAGCAAAAAUAUUUUCCCCUGGAGCAAUUACUAAAUUAAGGUUUACUUCAUUUUGCUUGAAAUAGUAAAUUUGUUACCUAUCCAGUUUAGUUUAUUAGUAUAAAUUAGACAUGACAUAAAUGAGAACUAUGUCAAGCUAAUGAAUUUCGUUGGAAGUUGGCUAUUGAAAGUUAGAAAGAAAUGAAAAAUAACUCAUAAUAAAUUCAUCUAACAUGUCUUUUGCCUCCUACUCCGCAACAUGGCCUUUGUCUGACAUUUCUAGAAGAGCAGGUAUUCCAAGUCACUUAAUUUUAGUUAGUGAAAUUUUUUCUUUCAAGCAGCCAAUUAUUUUGACAAAAAUAUAUCCAUCACUGCCAUCAACUGAGGUUAGGAGAAAACUUAAGCACAGUGAAAACAGUGGAUUGAAGACCAUGAAAAGCGGGCCCAGGAGGCCCAAGGCAUCUAGCGCCAAGAGUAGGGGGAAUGUGAAAUAAAUUUGAGAAAGAACCUCUUGAAACUAUGUUCCCCUGUUUUCUCAAAUGGUAUAUAUUUGAUGUAACUUAAUCCCUGCACGGUUAGAGUCAACACUAUAAACAACUGUAAAAAAUGCACUGUAAUACAGUUAUACAUAGGAGUUUUGCAGUUAUGUAAAAUACUAAAUAACUCUAUAUUCCACCUUUUUAAAAUGUAUCUAUUUUCAGUUGUGUACAUUGUUCUACUAGUCUUCUAUACCUUCCCUCACCAACAAGUUGUCCACUCUAAAUUAGUUCUGCUGACAAUGUUUCUGGCUGUAGCCUACCUAAAGCCUUCCCACGUUUUGUUUCAAAUACAAGCUGAGAUAUUAGGUAAGUCAUAAUAACAUUAGCUGCGUAUUUCCUUGCAAUAGAAAAAACUUUCACACUUAUUCUAUAUUCUCUUGUUUUAUUCAGAUAGCUUUGAGUAGGAUUUGUGUUGGUUUAUUGACAAGUAAAUGGAUUAGUACUUAGAAUUCAUUAGGACACACUUACAAUCAUGUCC